GAUGAACGCUGGCGGCGUGCCUAAUACAUGCAAGUCGAGCGAACGGACGAGAAGCUUGCUUCUCUGAUGUUAGCGGCGGACGGGUGAGUAACACGUGGAUAACCUACCUAUAAGACUGGGAUAACUUCGGGAAACCGUAGCUAAUACCGGAUAAUAUUUUGAACCGCAUGGUUCAAAAGUGAAAGACGGUCUUGCUGUCACUUAUAGAUGGAUCCGCGCUGCAUUAGCUAGUUGGUAAGGUAACGGCUUACCAAGGCAACGAUGCAUAGCCGGCCUUAGAGGGUGAUCGGCCACACUGGAACUGAGACACGGUCCAGACUCCUACGGGAGGCAGCAGUAGGGAAUCUUCCGCAAUGGGCGAAAGCCUGACGGAGCAACGCCGCGUGAGUGAUGAAGGUCUUCGGAUCGUAAAACUCUGUUAUUCGGGAAGAACAUAUGUGUAAGUAACUGUGCACAUCUUGACGGUACCUAAUCAGAAAGCCACGGCUAACUACGUG
rnacentral:rRNA from 1 species